GAUUUCCCUAGUAACGGCGAGUGAAGAGGAAAGAGCUCAAAGUUGGAACCUGUUAGCCUUAGGCUAACCGGAUUGUAAACUGGAGAAGUGUUUUCCAGGCAAGCCAGGUAAAAAAGUCCCUUGGAACGGGGCAUCAUAGAGGGUGAGAAUCCCGUCUUUGGCCUGAGCAUUUGUCUUUUGUGAUACACUUUCAAAGAGUCAGGUUGUUUGGGAAUGCAGCCUAAAUUGGGUGGUAAAUCUCACCUAAAGCUAAAUAUUGGCGAGAGACCGAUAGCGAACAAGUACCGUGAGGGAAAGAUGAAAAGAACUUUGAAAAGAGAGUUAAACAGUAUGUGAAAUUGUUAAAAGGGAACCGUUUGAAGCCAGACUGGCUUGAUUGUAAUCAUUCUUGGCUUUGGCCUUGAUGCACUUGCAAUCUAUGCCUGCCAACAGCAAUUUUUCUUGGGAGAAAAAACUUUGUAGAAUGUGGCCUUGCUUUAUUGUAGGGUGUUAUAGCUACUUUGAAAAUAUCCUGGGAGAGAUUGAGGACUGCAGUGAAUGCCUUUAGGCAAAGAAGUAGCUUGCUUAUACUGAUGGAUGCUAGAAUUUCUGCCUCGGGUGGUGCUAGUGUUCUGAGGUGUAACCCUUGUUAUUCUCUUUUUAUUCACUUAGGUUGUUGGCUUAAUGACUUUAAAUGAC
rnacentral:rRNA from 1 species